AUUGAACGCUGGCGGCAGGCCUAACACAUGCAAGUCGAACGAGUGGCGGACGGGUGAGUAAUGUAUGGGAAACUGCCUGAUGGAGGGGGAUAACUAAUGGAAACGGUAGCUAAUACCGCAUACCAUCAGAUGUGCCCAGAUGGGAUUAGCUGGUGGGGGGGGUAACGGCUCACCAAGGCGACGAUGCCUAGCUGGUCUGAGAGGCGGACCAGCCACACUGGAACUGAGACACGGUCCAGACUCCUACGGGAGGCAGCAGUGGGGAAUUUUGCACAAGGGGCGAAAGCCUGAUGCAGCCAUGCCGCGUGUAUGAAGAAGGCCUUCGGGUUGUAAAGUACUUUCGGCGGGGAGGCGUUACCCGCAGAAGAAGCACCGGCUAACUCCGUGCCAGCCGCCGCGGUAAUAC
rnacentral:rRNA from 1 species